AGGUAUAUGAUCAAACUUCCAUUAGAUAUUAUUUAUCACUUUCAGGAAAGAAAUUACCCAUCAAUAUAUGAAAUGGUAUACUACGCAGGGUUUUUUGAAUCGACUGGUUGAAAAACAUGGAAGCAUUGACCUUGAGUGGCUGAGAGAUGUUCCACCUGACCAAGCAAAGUAAGUCCACUAGUUAAUUAAGCAGCUUAAUUGAAAUACUAAUUCUCAUAACAUGCCAUGCAAUGUUAGCUUGUCUUGACUGUAUGAUUGGUGAAACGAACAUCCAAAACACUCCAUUCACGGGUAACACACACAAGCAGUUACACAUAUUUCAUGCAAGCAGAAUAAAUUCAUUAUAAAACUCUAUUCAUACAUACAGAGAAUACUUGCUCAGCUUCAGAGGACUGGGAUUGAAAAGUGUGGAGUGUGUGCGGCUUUUAACACUGCACCAUCUUGCCUUCCCGGUAAGUUGAAAAGAAAAGUGUGCAAUUACAGGAAAUGUGGAAUAAGUAAUGAUAAAUUGUUACCAUAUAACAGGUGGACACAAACGUUGGACGUAUAGCAGUACGACUGGGAUGGGUACCUCUCCAGCCACUGCCUGAGUCACUACAGUUGCAUCUCCUAGAAAUGUGAGUAUUACAUAAAUGAUAAAUGAUGUAAGACAAUAGUUCACUUGCAUAAGAGCUAAUAUCAUUGCCCUGUGUAGGUACCCUGUGUUGGAGUCCAUACAAAAAUAUCUAUGGCCUCGACUGUGCAAGCUAGAUCAAAGAACAUUGUAAAUAUCUCUUAAAUUUAGCGUACCAUAGUAACAGAAACACAUAUUUUCUUUUUUUCUUCGAAUAUAGCAAGGGUAAUUCACCUAUUGAUUAUUCUCUUAUAUGAUUUUUGCAAUAUAUUACAGGUAUGAGCUACAUUACCAGAUGAUUACAUUUGGAAAGGUAAAUCACAUUUUCUUAUACAUAAGAUACCGUCCCUACUCUAUCAAAACCUAUUGUGCUUGGGUCAUAAACUAAAAUCAAUGCAGGUCUUCUGUACAAAAAGCAAACCAAAUUGUAAUGCAUGCCCAAUGAGAGCAGAAUGUAGACACUUUGCUAGUGCAUUUGCAAGGUAUGGAUAUAAUAUAUUUAAAUUCUUUGCAUGAAAAGAUAAAUCAUUGUACAGCAUCAUUCAGAAGUCAUUACUCGUAAGUUAGAACUCUACAAGGCACUGCAUGUAACUUUGUUGGAACAAUAGGUAAGGAACUUGAGAGACAGAAUGCUAGGAAUACAAAGUUCAUGUACCCAGUAAUACAACACUAGCUAACUCAUUAUAAUGAUGACAGCACUCAUUGCAUUAUAUUCUCAUCAAAAUGCUACUUAGAUAACAGUUGAAUACUAUAUUGCAUGCAGUGCAAGGCUUGCCCUGCCUGGACCAGAGCAGAAGAGUAUAGUUACCACAGCUGGAAAUAGUGCGACUGAUCAGAAUCCAUCAGUACUCAUCAAUCAGUUGCGGUUGCCUCUCCCUGAAAACACAACGCAAGCAGAAGAAAUUCACCAAACAGAAGUGAGCAGACAACUACAAUUGAAAUCUGAAAUAAAUAUCUGCCAACCUAUCAUUGAAGAGCCGACAUCUCCAGAGCCAGAAUGCUCACAAGUAU
rnacentral:lncRNA from 1 species